AUUGAACGCUGGCGGCAUGCCUUACACAUGCAAGUCGAACGGCAGCAUGAUCUAGCUUGCUAGAUUGAUGGCGAGUGGCGCACGGGUGAGUAAUACAUCUGAACGUGCCCUGUAGUGGGGGAUAACUAGUCGAAAGAUUAGCUAAUACCGCAUACGACCUGAGGGUGAAAGUGGGGGACCGCAAGGCCUCAUGCUAUAGGAGCGGCCGAUGUCUGAUUAGCUAGUUGGUGAGGUAAAGGCUCACCAAGGCGACGAUCAGUAGCUGGUCUGAGAGGACGAUCAGCCACACUGGGACUGAGACACGGCCCAGACUCCUACGGGAGGCAGCAGUGGGGAAUUUUGGACAAUGGGCGAAAGCCUGAUCCAGCAAUGCCGCGUGUGUGAAGAAGGCCUUCGGGUUGUAAAGCACUUUUGUCAGGAAAGAAAUGGCUCUGGUUAAUACCUGCGGUCGAUGACGGUACCGGAAGAAUAAGGACCGGCUAACUACGUG
rnacentral:rRNA from 1 species